rnacentral:lncRNA from 1 species
CUGCAAGGGAUGAACUAGCCAGGGCAAUGCUGGAGAGCUCACCCUGGUGGUGAGGCCAGGGGAGAGCUGGCAGCCCCACCAACACUGCAACUACCCAGACUCAGAAGCAGGGCUGUGAGUUGACCCACCCCAACAUCCACCCCACCUAUGAUCUCCUAGAGCACGUGAAGGGGCUGGUCCAUCAGACCCAAAGCUUCAGGACCUCCAAGACACGGGGCAACAUCAGGAUAUCCAAGAAGAAUACUAGUGAGGGCCUAGUACUGAUAGUGUAGCAGAGCCCCGAGGCCUCAGACCAGACCAAUGACUCUUUGCAAAGCACACUUGCAAAUAAAGAUGUAUGAAUAAAAUAUAGCCAUAUAUAUUUAGCAUGAGUCACACUACAGCUUCCAUGAUGAGAUUAAUUUUUUCCUUUUUAUUUUUUUUCUUUUUUUUUUUUUUAUUUUGCUCCUAAAUUUUAUUUUGAGGAAGAUUGAAAAGGCUGAGGGCAGAUAUGAAGGGAGAAAAGUAUGAAUAACUCACACCGACAGAAAUGAUAGUAGGAAUCAGUAAAAAGAAUGAAUAAUUAGCUGGAGACAAGCUCCUUGAAUACAGAAACAGUUUCUUUCUUGGUCCCUGCGACUUCCCCCUGCUGAAAGAACACGAGAAGAAGUGAAUGAACCAAUCAACCCAGCAGUCAUGACCUGUCAUGUUGUCUGGAUACAGUGGGUCUGCACAUGCAGAACAAAACGAAAUUACUGAGCACUACAAAAGGAAGCAAAGGAGUUAGAACAGCAGCAAACAUGUAAAAAUAAUAGCUAAGGUAAAAUCUUAUCAGUAGCUCCCCACAGAACUUUCCAGUGAGAUCUCUUGUUUGAGCAAAGAACCCAUCUGGAAAGGGGGAUAUUUGAUAGUCAACAUCUUGUAUUAUUUUCAGACAACUGAAAAAUAACUAGGAAAUAGAGAAAAGAUGAUGUGAAACAAAUCUUCUGAAACAUAAAAUCUCACUUAUUACAUGACGUCAGUGGCCAUUCAGCUUUUUGUUGUACUCAGCACACGUUGAUAAUGUGACCCGUAAGUUCAGCCUUCCAUCUGCCCCGACUAUUGUCUUUCUUCACCUUUUGAACAUCUCUUUUUGAUUUCCACAUGUCCCUUUCUUCUGUUUUCAACAUAUUUAUCUAAAAGAGCAAAAACUAGAAAAGUCUGUCUGCUAGGAUUUAGAUUAUUAUAACUGACUCCAUUUUAUUGUAACUGCAUUUGCAAAGCUCCAUUUAGACUUCAGUGAUACUUCAGAACAAAGUUAUCCCAGAAAAGAGAAUGGAAAAAUAAAAAUUAAGUUUAGCAUUCAGUUGUACUCAAAAGGCAUUUUUAGAUAUUUUAGUAGUAAGUUAUACAACUAAGGUAGUCUAGAUAAACAUCAGAAAUUUAUUAUCUAUCAUUUGAAAGACUUUUAAAAGUCUAGACAAUAUUUUACAAGCCUUGUAAACAGAUACCAUAAUUUACAAACUGUGACUUGCUUGCCCCCUGCCAUAUGAGUUUCCAUUAAAUCCUGACUCUUAGCAAUGGGGUUUAAUGUAUAUAUUUAUAGCAGUACAGGUAUUGCACUAGCUGAGAAUUUGUGAAAUAAUGACCAUGCAGUGGCAUAGUGGUUUCUAGUAUAUAGAAUUAAAGCUAUGAGUCUGAAGCCAAAAAACAUAAUUAGCAGAACUUUAAUUGGUAGAAUUACAAUAAAGGGGGCGAUCUAAUUUACAGAAUAUCAUCAGCCCCAUAAUCACCUGAAGCAAGAUUGAGAAAAUUAUGAGGGGAGAAACAAAAUAGAAGCUCCAUGCCACAGAUAAUGAGCUAGUACAAGAAACUGCUUUCACUCUUCUGGGCCAGGGAGUAAUGAUGAAACUAACUCAAUGUAUCCAGCCCUUCUUCAUGGCCUAGAGGGGUGGACGAGAAUGUCCGGCCUCUGCUUCAUGUUAUCAAGAAGUUUUACUUGCAAUGAGACUCUGCUUAGAAGGAGACCAAAAUGCUCGAAUUUCAUAGUUUAAGUUGACUCUAAUAAGAAGUCUUUCAUUUCCAAAGACAUUUUUGGAGAAAGUGACAUACGCAGAAACUAUUGCGGAGCUUUGUGAAACAGAUUUUUUAAUGUUCUCUCUCUCUCUCUCUCUCUCUCUCUCUCUCUCUCUCUGUCUCUCUCUCUCUCUCUGUGUGUGUGUGUGUGUGUGUGUGUGUGUACAUAUGUGAGUGUGUACUUCUGCAUGGUGGGCUCAUGUGAAGGGCAUUGGUUCCCAACUUCCAUUUUGUCCUGAGGAAGCCUCAUACUCCUGCUGCAUUUUCCUAGCUGUGGCCCUGUACAGGGGAGUCCACUACACUGAGGACAGCUGAAAUUGCAGACACUCAGUACCAUGUUCGGCUUUGCAUGUAUUCUGGGGGCCCAAACUCAGAGCCUGACUCUUACAUGGCAAAUGCUUUACCUUCUGAACCAUCUCCCUAACCAGAGAGUUUUUAAAAGAAUGGUUAUUGGCUUCUAAAUCUAGGAAUGGAGAUCACCGAUAGAUAGCUUGCCCAGCAUGCACAGAUUUGGCCUUGGGUUCAAAUCUUAGUAUAAAAAAAGAAAAGAAAAGAAGGAAGAGAGGGAGGGAGGGAGGGAGGGAGGGGUUAUAGAUUGUUCCUAAUGAACCAAAUACAUUUUGAAAAACCUGGUCUUUCUCAGUGUUCACUGAGUGUUCUCCAUACUAUCACAGCCCCACACCAUGUGUGUUGAAAGCAUCUAUGAAUUAAACAAUUGACCUUUAAAAGAGAAAACACGGUGAGCCGAAAACUCAGGUUCAUGUCUUACUGUGCCAAUUUACCUAGUCUUAGAUGAAAUGAGGGGAAAACUGCUUGUGCAUAAAAAGCCUUCAUUAACUGGAAUGCUCCAAUGUUUAUGUUUGAGUACAGGCUUCUAUCAAGGAUCCAGAGCCAAGUGUGACAAGGCAAGUGUUUAAACAAUGCCUGGAUCUCAGAGACAGAGAGAGAGACACCUACUAGUCCAUCUUCUACCGGUCCUAAGCACCUCCCGUUUUCUGCAAUUAAUGUAACGUUUUCUCUCUUACAGCUGACAGCCAAGAGCAUAAUUAGAGUCUAAUAAAACACGGAAAAGUCACAAAUGCAAAGUGGAAUAAACAGUAAACAGCAAUGGGAGAGGAGAUCCGGGAACGUGAUGGCUGGGUAAUGCCUCAGAUAAACUGUGUGCACACUGACACUGUCACGCUCUCGGCAGCCCCAAGUGUGCUGGUAGCCUGGUGCAGACAGACAGCUCGAAUUAAUCCCAAGAGACGCGCAUGACAGGCGAGUGAAGCAGACAAUUAGAAUGAAGGAGGAAAUUGGAAAUGGCAAAGGUGUGAACAUAUGUCAAAUUACAACUAAAUGAUAAAUUACAAUUCUGUCAUCGGAAUAAGCGGUAAUUAAGAAAGAUUUCAGCUAUCCCUCUUGGAAAAGAAAAAAAAAAAAUGAGAACGCCAUCUUCGGCCCCCAGUUUAGAUUUGUUUGUGGAAUUGUUUCCAUCCAUCUCACACGCCAUGUUCAGGCUUCCUGACUUUUGAGCUGCAUUAUUUGUGUACAUUAAGGAUAAUUCUUCUCUUUCCUCUUCCCGGUUUUCCAGGCUGGCAGAAGGAUAGUGUCAAAAAUGAACAGGAAACUGAUAGUGUCUGCUAUAAAAACCUACACCGAGGCUCGCUGCUGAGGCUGCUGCUGCAGCAAUCUAAUUAUUUUAAACAAGCCUGCACAGUCCAGCUGACAAUUAGGAAAGUGCUCUAUGGCUUGGGGGAUUUGGAGGAAGCCUGGUAAUCACUGUACACUCGUCCCUUUCGUUUAGGCAGUAAUGAAUGUGGGUGGGGCUUCCUGGCAGUUUUUGGCCACUUAACCACAAUUUAAAACAGCUGUGUAAUUAGUGCACGUUUAUGCAUCCAAUAUCCAAUUCCAAUUUAGAGUUUGUAACACCUGUGGUUUUGUUACAAGCUCCAAGACCACGGCAGGGGGAUGACAGAGGCAAAAGCAUAGAACUGGAAAAGACAGCCCCAGGGAGGGUAUUCUGUCCCACGGGAACCUGUGUGCCCAGAUUUGAUGAGGGAGGAAUCUCAGGAGUAAACAGAAGGUGCCCCAUGAAGGGAGGAUUUCUACAGCAAAGUCAACACAGAAUAUUCUGGCCUUCAAUUCCUUAAGAAAGCAGACAUGUCUCUGAUUUAUACAGCCCUUGCAAACUCUAUUUAGAGAGAGAGAGAAAGAGAGAGAGAGAGAGAGAGAGAGAGAGAGAGAGAGAGAGAGAGAAAGAGAGAGAGAGAGAGAUCUUGACAUUCGAAAGCAAUUGGAUGGAACUAGAAGAAACCAUCCUGAGCAAGGUAACCCAGUCACAAAAAGACAAACAUGGUAUAUACUCACUCAUAUGUGGAUUUUAGACAUGGAGCAAAGCAUUACCAGCCUACAAUCCACACCACCAGAGAAGCUAGGAAACAAGGAGGACCCUAAGAGAGACAGACAUACAUGGUCCCCUGGAGAAGGGCAAAGGGACACAUCUCCUGAGCAAAUUGGGAGUAUGGGGGGAGGGAAGAGGGAGCUAGGAGAAAGAGUUGGGGAGAGGAGAACAUGAGGGAACAGGAAGGUUGAGUCAGGAAGAAUAGAGGAAAGCAAGAUAAGAGAUACAAUAAUAGAGGGAGCCAUUAUAGGUUUAAAGGGAAAUCUGGCACUAGGGAAAUAUCCAGAGAUCUACAAGAAUGACACCAACUAACAAUCUAAGCAAUAGUGGAGAGGCUACCUUAAAUGCUCUUCCCCGAGAAUGAGAUUGAUGACUACCUUAUAUGCCAUCCUAGAGCCUUCAUCCAGUAGCUGAUGGAAGUAGAAGCAGACACCCACAGCUAAACACUGGACUGAACUCCUGGAAUCCAGUUGCAGAGAGGGAGGAGUGAUGGGCAAAGGGUCAAGACCAGGCUGCAGAAACCCACAGAAACAGCUAGCCUGAACAAGGGGGAGCUCAUGGACCCCAGACUUGGAAACCAGCAUAGGAUCAAGACCCCCCUGAACCUGGGUGUCAGUGAUGAGGUCUUGACAAUGUAUGGGGCUGCUGGUCAGUAUUUAUCCCUAGCAUACGAAUGGACUUUGGGAGCCCACUCCACAUGGAGGGAUACUCUCUCAGCCUAGACACACAGGGGAGGGCCUAGGCCCUGCUCCAAAUGACAUGACAGACUUUGAAGAUUUCCCCAUGGAAGGCCCCUCACCCCCUGGAGAGCAGAAACGGAAUGGAAUAGAGGGUUGGUGGGGGCAGGGGAGGAGGGGAGGGAGAAGGAACUGGGAUUGACAUGUAAAACAAGCUUGUUUCUAAUUUAAAUUUAAAAAAUAGAAAAAAAAGAAAGGAAGGAAGGAAGAAAAGACUUAAAGACUUAAAAUAUCACUGGAAAGUACUUCGCUCUGGGCUCAAGGUGACAACCUGAUUUAGCACAUCUCAAAAAGGGUAAAAUUGAAUUAGUUGGUCAUCUUCCACCUGUUAUUUAGUGACCAUGAAAACAUUGAUUUUAGAAAUGCAAUGAGAACUGUAAGGUUAAUAGUGAUAAAUGAUGGGAAGGCUUGAUCGUAAAUAAAAUUUCUUAAUCUACAAACAACCCCCAGUUGUUUGAAUAUGUAUAAGACAAUGUUCAAAAUCUUCUGUGCAUCAUAUCCGUUGCCAAAUGGGGAGAACAUAGAGAGCAACAGGUCCUCCACUCCCAAUAGCGACAGUACAAUGAGAGCCUGUUUAAAAAGAGACAAGAAUCCUCCAAGUUUCUCUCAGGAAUUAUGUAUGUAUUUACUUCCUUCUUUUACGCCCUCGCCUGAGGGCAAAAGAAGCAGAUAUGGAAAAAGCUAAAUAAAAUUCUCUAACAGGGAUGUCAGAAGCGCUGAUGAUUUCCUGGGAUGAAUCAAUUCCUAGUAGCUAUGACCUCAUACUGUGGUCCAAGACCUCAAAAGCUUAACUGGGGCAACACGUUAAAAGUUAAAAAGGGCCAGUCAUGUUAAUUACAUUGGGUUUCCUCUCUACAAGCCACUGUGAUCAGAUGAGGAUUAUUUUAAAAGAAAUUCAUCUAUAGUAAUCUGUAUGCUUCAGGAGUAAUGUAGCCUCGUGUGCCCAUUCCUCAUAUUCUUAUGGUUUGGGGUGGGAAGAGUCUAAUAUUGUAUGCCAGGAGUUUAGAUGGAUCUAAGAAAGGACAAAUGAGAGCUGGGUUUCAGCUCUUCUGGCUCAGGGGGUGGUGGGAGAAAAAUUGCUGCAGUCAUGUGGUUUACUCAUCAAAAUAGAAGUUCUCUUCCAGAAAUUGGAAUACAGGCAUGUGGCCUGCAAAGGUAUGGGAUCUUACUUCAUUUGGGGGAGACACUUCCCCUAAACAAUGUUCUGAUAAAAAUAAGCUAGAUUGUAGUAACUGUAAUCUCAGAAUUUAAACGUAGGUUAUAUAACAGAAGUUGCAAAUGGGAUGAUGUCAAUAUUCAGAUUUUAGACUGCAUGUAUGUGGAGAAAAGCAUAUCCAGAGGACAGCUUGCAGAAGUAGGGUUCUUCUUUCCACCAUAUGAAUCUCCAGCAUUGAACUCAGGUCAUUACAUCAGGUCUGGCGGUUACCAGGUCAGGCUUGGAGGUAAGCACCUUCACCAGCUGAGCCAUCUCACUGGGCCCCAAUUAAUGCUUAUUUGUUUUUGGUGCAAUAUUGUGUUUUUAGUAGCAAACAGAAUCCUUUUAAUUGCCAUGUCUCUUAAUUUUCAAAGGGAAAGCUUUGCUCUAACAACCCCAGGAGUUAUAGAAUUAUGACUAGGGAUCUUGCUGUAUCCUAUUUUGCCUUAUAUAGACUUUAGAAAUGGAUAUUGUAUCAGACAGUGCUUUCUACAGAGAUACUCAGUCUUUAACCUAGAUAAGAUCUGUGAGUGCAAAUGAAAAACUUUGACUAUUGACAAACUUUCCAGGUAGCUUUAGUGCAGAGCUGGACUCUAGUCCAAGCUCAACUGUACUGAGGCCAGCAAAGUUCGACAAAGACUUCAGAAAGUCAAGUCCAGUCUCCAGACAUCCUAACAAUAUGUCUCUCUGUACAAUCAUCCUCUUGAGCAGAUGACUGAUCCAUGAAUUAUAGUGAGCACAGUAUGUUUAUAAUUUAUAUGUUCAGUUACUUGCUUAAUAUAAACAAAAUUGACAAUGAUUUUUU